UGAGGUAAUGCUUAAUAGAGUAAGAACUGGGGGCGUCUUUGUGUUUAUGCGUGUGGGGUUUGUCCCGGUGUGUUUGAGGUGGUGUAGGUCUUAAUAUCCGUGCAAGACAGUUCUGCGGAAAUCUGCAACUUUAUUUGGAUGGCACGUACGACUGCAAUUUUUGUGAUAACACUGGCUCUUUAGCUCGAUCACCACGGUUGAGUACAUUCAUAAUUAUAUGAUCGACAAAUACCGAAUUUUCUAAAUAGUCGGCUACCGCUGUUGUUGGAAAUUAAUUUUGAAAUGUUCGUGGGUGUGGUGUGUUUUCCGUCCUGUCGGUCGUGGUUCGUUAAGCGGGGGAUUUGGUCAAUUGAUCAUAUUGUUACGAUUCGAUUUGCGCUCCGGGUGAACGGCUGUGGUCCCACAUAGGAACCGCGUAGGCUACCUUAUUUAUAGGCUACCUAUUAACUCCGCUGAGGGCGGCUGGGCGGGAAUGAGUGGGAGACUGCUGUCGGCGUUGGACCGGUCAAUGAAACUCUGGGAGAGAUCAAGGCAAGGGGAGGGACAAAAAAGAAUGGUGCAAACACCCAAACACCGGCUAUCUCCAGAUCCUGUCAGUGCUGCCUGAAGGUUCUGGAACUUGAACUGGGUGCUGUGGACUCCAGUGUAGUAGACAACAUUGCCGCUGAUGUAGAGGUCGAUGGUACGAGAGGAGCUGCUCAGGUUAGUCAGGUGCAGGGUGACCUUGAAGCCUUCGUACACGAGCGCGGGUGACACUUCGACCUUCAGCUCCACGUCUGAGGGAGGGGCGUAUGGCCCUUUGCGCCUGCACCCGUACUGCUCGGCGUUCUUCACAGUCAUUUCCGACUCCACUGUGCCUGUGCGGGGGCCGGACCGUUCAGACAGAUGAAGGGCCACACCUAUACAUCCCUGUGGACAAAGAAGGAAGCUAUUCAGAAACUAAUUUAAUGCACAACUCCACAUAAAUCCUGAAUAAGCAACUUUGAUGUCCACUAUUUUCUUCAUUACACAUUUGCAGAAGGAUGAUUAAAUACACAUCACACAGGAUCUGCAUGUGACAACCCAAAAUUGGCCACAGUGUCACCCUGGGAAGGAUCAGUGAAGAGGAGGAAGCAUUUCUGAUGCUGAGAUGAGAGGCAGGAGGAGUAGAGUAAGGGACACCAUACAACUAACCCUUGCCUUCUCAUUUCUAAGUGACUCUUUUGGUCAAUCAAAUGUUUGUGAUCAUUUGCAGUCAUUCGGUGCAGUUUCUAUGGAAAUUCAGCUGCCACGGAAGAGAAUUGUCUGACGACACUCAUUUCAAAUGUUGCAUGUGGUAGUGUGUACCUCUUCUGCAUUGGACAAGGAUUUGGCAGGGAUGGGAUGGGCAAAGGAGUAUGACUGAACAUUCUGCACACCCAGAUUAUAUGAACAGGAUGCAGUAUCAAAAUGAAUCAAAAUACGUAACAAAUCUUAAUCAAUGAAUGGAGCUGACUUACCAUCACUGGUCUCCUGGGGGGUGGAAUCCACUACUUGCCAACCACCUAAGCCAUUAGGCAGGUCAUUUCUGUCCAUGUAACACUCAUUCCAGCAGUGGUAGUUCCUGUCAAGGUAGCAUCCAAGGCUCAAAAUUUGAUCAUCAGAAAAGUGAAGAAAACUUCCAGUUUAAGAUGACCACAGGGCUAGAAGACCUUGAAGCUAUAUGCAUUUAUCAAUCAGGUUGAACAAUGAAGCAAGUUUUACAUUUUCUUUCUAAUACAUUUCUUACCAUUAAUCCUUCAAAUUUCAUUCAAAAGUCAGCUGUGGUUUUACAUUCAGUUUAUUUUAAUGAAAGUGUUAUCUUUGCUUGGAGGACAUAUCUCUCUAUUUUGGUCCAUAAAUAUUUUUUAGCACUUUGUUCAUGAGUAAUUUUUAUUGCUUCAUCUUGCUAGACAUACAUGAGUAUAUUCAGGACUCAAACACACACCUGAAAGUGGUAAUGUAGCAAGAGAAAUUCUAAAUCUCUACUUAAACUAUUAUAUUUUUAUCACUGUUGAUGGUAUCCACUAUCUGGUUUCCAUGAACACAUUUUUGCUCAUUUAAAAAAUGUUAUUUAGCUAAAGCUGGUGAAAUGAUUAAUACAAUAAAGGCAUACCAAAGGGAAUCCCUGGUUCUUGCUCGAUCAAAUUCAUAUGUACGUGUGAGAAUGAUGUCAGUUUUUAAAUUGCCAUCAUUGUCAUGAGCAGAUCGAUAGUUGGUGAUGACCCUGGCUGGGAUUCCCAAACAGCGCAGAACUACAGCAGAGACCCAAAAAACACAGAAUUAGAUACAUUCAGGUACAAAAACAGUCAUUCUUUUUAUGCUAUAUAUUGACAUUCCCACAACAUUGCAUAUAUAUACUAGUUAUUUCUAUCUAUUGACAUGCAUACACUGGAAAUGACAACAUUUUAAAGAGCUAUUGCAAAGGGACAGUCCCUCAUCUGCUGUGUAACUUCAGUCUUCCUCUUGUUGAUUACUAUUACUACAAGAGGAAUUACUGAAUUUACAUGGUUGUCAGAGGAAUUGUAAAUCAAUUUCCCCUUGAAUCUUUUUAGUGCAUUUCUAAUUAAUUUUUGAUUAAUAUCUGGAAUGGAGAUAUAUGGAUUCUUUACGUGCUGUAUACAUCUAUUACAACAUUGUCAAUAUUGAAAUUACUAGACAGGCCUCGUUGCUUGAAAUUCAAGUCUAGAAGGACAUUGGGCACAUUGCCCUGAAUUAAAUCAACAUUCAUCCUUAGAAAAUAAAUGUAAGUGUUUUUAUUUUUUAUGGGCAUAGAUUCAGCAAAUAGUUUGGCAGAUAACCCAUCAAACUGUGUCUGUGAAGAAAAGAGAAAGUCAUGCUUAAGGAGAGAUACUGACUGAAUCUAUGCCCCUGUGUAAUAUCCUUCCCUGGGCCUUCAAAUAGUUGCAUGUGGUGUUGUAGUAACAUACCUGUGGUUUCACCCCAUUUGUAAGUUAGUUUCAAAUAUUUACAUGAUUUAAAAAACAUAUUUGGUCAGGGGCUUUAAAACAUAAAGUUGUGCUAGUCCUAGCUAUAAAUCUGAUUUUAUGAAGCCACAAGAGAACUUUAAUAACAUUAAUUAAGGAUCACAUUAGUUCAGGCAGGCCAAGAGAGACAAGCCCAGCUCUGGCUGAAUCAGCUGGUGGCUUGGGUGUGUAGUGAUAUUCAGCUAUCACGGUCCAUUCACAUAACAGGGCGGUUUAUUUGAAUGGCCUCUCCCUACUAAUUUGGCUGCUUCCUCCUGCAAGCAUGCUUGCUGUACGCUGGCAGUCUAAAUCCCCUCUUCCACUCCAGCUCUAUCCCUCAUGUUGCUGCUGGAUCUGCUCUGGUUGUACCACUGCUCCGGGACAGAGCCAGGCCACCAAGCAUAACUAUUGCCAUUUAAGACUUUUAAUAAAGAUUCUAACUUUGA